UGGAGAGUUUGAUCCUGGCUCAGGACGAACGCUGGCGGCGUGCUUAACACAUGCAAGUCGAACGGAAAGGCCCCUUCGGGGGUGCUCGAGUGGCGAACGGGUGAGUAACACGUGGGUGAUCUGCCCUGCACUUUGGGAUAAGCCUGGGAAACUGGGUCUAAUACCGAAUACACCCUGCUGGUCGCAUGGCCUGGUGGGGGAAAGCGUUUGUAGCGGUGUGGGAUGAGCCCGCGGCCUAUCAGCUUGUUGGUGGGGUGAUGGCCUACCAAGGCGACGACGGGUAGCCGGCCUGAGAGGGUGACCGGCCACACUGGGACUGAGAUACGGCCCAGACUCCUACGGGAGGCAGCAGUGGGGAAUAUUGCACAAUGGGCGCAAGCCUGAUGCAGCGACGCCGCGUGAGGGAUGACGGCCUUCGGGUUGUAAACCUCUUUCAGUGCCGACGAAGCGGAAGUACGGUAGGCACAGAAGAAGGACCGGCCAACUACGUGCCAGCAGCCGCGGUA
rnacentral:rRNA from 1 species